rnacentral:snoRNA from 1 species
UUAUUUAACAUGAUGAUAAAAUUAAGUUGCAUAGUUCAACUGAUUUUCUUUUAAACGUGAAGAUAAAAAUUUCCAUCGAAUUUAGUCUUUCGCUCCUAUCUGAUUAUUAUU